rnacentral:tRNA from 1 species
CGGAGCGAGUGGGUGAGCCGAGCGGGUGCCCUCUGGGCGGCAAGGCGAACAACAGCAAAUGCAGCGCGCCGUAAACGCGAUGCCCUGAGGUGCUACGAAGGUGCAAGUCCUUCCGCUUCGACCA